GAUGAACGCUAGCGGCAGGCCUAACACAUGCAAGUCGAGGGGCAGCACGAGUAAUAGCAAUAUUACUUGGUGGCGACCGGCGCACGGUGCGUAACACGUAUGUAAUCUGCCUUAAACUGGGGUAUAACUCCGAGAAAUCGGUGCUAAUCCCCCAUAACACUGCGAAGUGGCAUCACUUUGCAGUUAAAGCUCCGGCGGUUUAAGAUGAACAUGCGUCCAAUUAGCUAGUUGGUGAGGUAAUGGCUCACCAAGGCUCCGAUUGGUAGGGGUUCUGAGAGGAUGAUCCCCCACACUGGUACUGAGACACGGACCAGACUCCUACGGGAGGCAGCAGUGAGGAAUAUUGCGCAAUGGAGGCAACUCUGACGCAGCCAUGCCGCGUGAAGGAUUGAAGGUCCUAUGGAUUGUAAACUUCUUUUGUAUGGGAAUAAACGCUACUACGUGUAGUAGCNUGAAGUACAAUAAGGUAAGCACCGGCU
rnacentral:rRNA from 1 species